AACGAACGCUGGCGGCAUGCCUAACACAUGCAAGUCGAACGAGACCUUCGGGUCUAGUGGCGCACGGGUGCGUAACGCGUGGGAACCUGCCCUUAGGUUCGGAAUAACUCCCCGAAAGGGGUGCUAAUACCGGAUAAUGUCUUCGGACCAAGGAUUUAUCGCCUUUGGAUGGGCCCGCGUUGGAUUAGCUAGUUGGUAGGGUAAAAGCCUACCAAGGCGACGAUCCAUAGCUGGACUGAGAGGAUGAUCAGCCACACUGGGACUGAGACACGGCCCAGACUCCUACGGGAGGCAGCAGUGGGGAAUAUUGGACAACGGGCGAGAGGCUGAUCCAGCAAUGCCGCGUUAGUGAUGAAGGCCUUAGGGUUGGAAAGCUCUUUUACCCGGGAUGAUAAUGACAGUACCGGGAGAAUAAGCUCCGGCUAACUCCGUG
rnacentral:rRNA from 1 species